rfam:Charadrius vociferus contig78863, whole genome shotgun sequence.
GCCGGGCACGGUGGCUUGUGCCUGUAAUCCAAGCGCCAGGGAGGCUGAAACUGGUGGACGGCUUGAGCCCGGGGGUUCUGGGCUGCAGCGAGCUGUGCCGAGCGGGCGUCCGCGCUAAGGCCGGCAUCGAUAUGGUGGUCCUGGGGGAGCCGGGGGCCACCAGGUUGCCUAAGGAGGGGUGAACCGGCCCAGGUCGGAGACGGAGCAGGUCAAAACCCCUGUGCUGGUCAGUAGCGGGAUGGCGCCUGUGAACAGUUCCUGUAGCACAGCCUGGGUGAGAGAGCGGGACCCAGUUUUCAU